rnacentral:rRNA from 1 species
AUGGACUGCGCAUUCUAUAUGUACAUGAACCUGAAGCAGUACUCCAAUGAUGGAACAGCAUCAACCUUAGAGCCAGAACAAGUACCAGAGUUGAGGAAAAAAAUUCUAUAUCAACUAAUCAGACAACACAGAGGGAAUACCAAACUGUCAUUAAUCAAGUGUACAACAGAUAUGCUGAAGUAUGAAGUCAAUAUGGGAGACAAAGAAAUGCAACAGACAGAAUGUUGCGUACUAGAAGAGUUUCCGCCAAAUCUCGAGCCAAAAGAACAUAUUAUGCAUUCGACAACCACAAAAGAGCAUGAAGUUAUUGAUAUAUCCAGUAAACACAAAGAGGUUAUGGAUGUCAGCAGACAAGCCGUCGCCCAAGAAUCUUGCACAUACCACAAAGAAAAGGAUCUACCAGUAGAACCAGAUCAACCACCACCAGACAACAAGAUACCACACCAUGCUGAAGAGCAAACGGACAAGCAAAAUAUCAACAGCAAUACCCCGAGCACAAAGCAACUUGAACAAACAGGCACUGAUUUAAAAGAGGAUGGCACAAGCAACGAUGUACCAAAUACGGAAAAGCACGACGAAGUUGAUGAAUUUCUUUCAAGCCUUAACCCGCUCCAACUAGAGGAAUACAACGAGCAUGUAAAGAUGGGCGUUGGAUUCGAUGUAAUCAAAACAUGGUUGAAUGACCAUGAAAGCUAUGAAUUCAACAAAGAUCCCACGCCGUAUCUGACAAUCUUGCAGCAAGAAUCAAGAGAACAUUCAAUGCCUCAAUCAUCUGAGAAUAGCUCAGACAAGAAAAUCUCAGUCAAGAAGAGACCGGUAAAGCCUUCAAGAAAGCUGCAUGGAAAAAUUCCUACUUUUGUCCCAGGAGAUUUCAAAUAUAUAGACAAAGCCAGAGCACUUCAUGAAUACCUAUUCAGCAAAGAAGGACAUGACGAAUACGGAGAUCUAAAUGUAUAUAUUAGCUCGAAGCGACCCGAUUGGAUUACAGGAGAACAAAUGAUGGAACAGCUACGGAAAGGAGAUCAUGGACAGAUGGAGGGAUCCAUCGCAAACGCAUUGUUCGAAGAAUGGACAGUGCAGCAACAAUACAACACAACCGAUAAAGCCAUACUUCCCGCAGAAUUUGCAAACAUCGUGCUCGGUGUUAAAAUUGGAGAAAAAGGAGGACUAGCAGAAUUCAAUGAGGACGAAGCAUUGAAACAGUUUGCACCCCUUGUAACAGGGAAGGAACUUUUAAAGAAAAAGCCGAUUAUGAUACCUCACAACACAGCUAAACACUACACACUGUACGUGCUCAACAAGUACACAAGCUCCAUCGACAUACUUGACUCACUGAAUUAUGGAGACGAAGACCUUAAAAGGAUGCACACACUCAUGAAGAAGCAUUACGGCGAAGCGGAGCUACGAGCCGACGGCGAACCGAACUGGUCGAGGAUAGAAGAAACACCUAACAGAGUGUGCGUGCCAAAACAGCAGGGUACCCAAUGCGGACACUUCAUGGUUCAAUUUGCAAAAUACUGGAAUGACAUUGAUCUCAUAAAAGAUGAUGAGGAUUUCGAUCAAAGCAACGUAGAUGCCGAGUGGAAACCAGAGUUCCUUUUUACAGCCAUAUUUGGUGAAACAAACCAAGUAAAGUGCGAGAAACUACCUGGAAGAAUCAAAGAAUUCAAACCAGAAACUUCAAAGUUCUUUUCCACCAACAAAGAGGCCAAAAAUAAUGUAAAAAUAUGUUUCUCACUGACCGUGACCUCCAAAAUUAUUUAA